CCACUUAAGUGACCCUAACUUCUGAAUCGAUGGCAGCUUCUAUCGCCUUCCCCUCAGACACUUCGUCUUCUCCGCUUCGACUUCUUGCAACGUCUGUUACGGUGAUCCCACUUCUUAUCAAUCAAUUGUUUUCUAAACUUCACUCUUUAUGAAUUCGUUUGACACCCCUCUCUAUCUCUCAUCCUUUAUAUACUACUGUUUUUUUCUUUCCUUUGCGACAAAUAAAAACACUCAAAUCAAGGCUCAAGCUCAAGCUCAAGCUCUAGCAUGGCCAGUGAUCAUGAAGUUAUGUAUUUUCCUUCUGUCCUAUGUUAAUCUUCACAUUUCUUCAGGGAACUGUUAUUUAUGGAUUCAUUCUAUCAAGACGUGUUAACAAAUAAUUGCCUGACAUGGAACCAGGAUCAGUUUACAGUCUCUUGAACUUGUACGGAUCCAAAAACAAACCAGUGUAUCGGGUUGCUGAUCAUAGCGUAACCGUUUCUUACUCACGGGACUCUGUCAUGUGGGUUCUUAAGGACAGUCCCGUCCCCUUUGACGAACACCGUUUCCGGUUCCAUUUCAUAUGCGGUAAGUCGGCACAACAAGGCUGAAGUACGUGAUGAAAAUCGCACCAGGAAGUGAAGGAGCUGAGGGAAAUCUCUGAGGAUUAUCGGCAGCUAUACUGGUUUAAGAACAAGCUGACAAAACAGAAAAAGCACCUCAAGGAGCUUGAGGAUCUCUGGGAAUUUUAAGCCAGAAGCUGUGUAAAACUGCAGAAGAUAACUGUAUUGUGAGACAGAGAACGAAUAUGAAGCAUUCACAGAACAGAGAAGAGAACUUGGUGAUAUGAAGAUGGAUCACAUGACAGGUUUUUCAAAGCCUAAAACAGACAGAUACAUGAGCAAAGAGACGGAAGGAAGAUAAUUUCCAUAUGUUGCAUCAUAUGGAGCGUGCUAAAGUUUCUGAUAUAUGCAACAGGUAUGUAUACAUAUUUACAGAAACAGAGACGAGAUGGAGACGGCAGAGAAACAGAGUAUAUGCUGAAGAGAAGGCUCAAAAACACAGAGAGGUUACAGUUUCUUUAGGACAAUCAGCAUAUACUCUGCAUCAGCAUCGUUGGUGGUGAUGUAGCCUAGAGGAAGUUCAGGUGCUUCUGCAAGAUGAAAUCUGAGUGAUUUUGGCAUUGGAAGCUUCUUGGACAAAGAAAAUUUGGUCACGUCUGUCUUGCUAGGGAAAGGAAGUUCUCACACAUAUACGCAAAUAUGAAACAUGGUUCUUUCCAAGACCCCACUUCACCAAUUUAAGUUGAACAUUAUCUCAGCAGAGGAGUAGAAAUUCAGUCUCAUCUCCAUAACCCCAAUAUACACCGCCAUCACAUUUCUCACAGCUUUCAUGGUGAAGUUUAAGUGAAGGAGGCUUGAGGAAGAAGAUGAGAAGGUUUUUAAAGAUUAGUGCACAGCAACUUACCAGAGAAGAGAUACCCUGAGAAGCCAACCAGCGACUACUUCCUCCUGAAGCAACCCAAUCACCAGAACUUGCAGAGUGUUUGUUACACAAUAUAGCAUUGGAAACCAAAGGGAGUAAAGUGGCAUUCAUCUCCUAAUUGCUUCAGUAGUCUGUGUUCACAUCCGCUUAUCCUUCCCAUUCUAGGAAUGUAAUAUUUAUUCCAGAUUUAUAAAAGAAAAAGCAAACCACUCUUUAUUACUAUAGAGAAUUAUGAAAUCUUAUAUAUUUUUAAAACAAUAUUGAUGUUCUUAUAUAUCAAAUUUUUAAUGGUU